rnacentral:tRNA from 1 species
GCCAGCGUGAGGUAGUGGUUUGAGCAUUGGCCUAUGACUCUGGAGACCAGGGUUCAAAUCCCUGCUCAGCCA